rnacentral:rRNA from 1 species
GUCACGCUGUAAACGAUGUCGAUUUGGAGUUUGUUGCCUAGAGUGAUGGGCUCCGAAGCUAACGCGAUAAAUCGACCGCUGGGGAGUACGGCCGCAAGGUUAAAACUCAAAUGAAUUGACGGGGGCCCGCACAAGCGGUGGAGCAUGUGGUUUAAUUCGAUGCAACGCGAAGAACCUUACCUGGUCUUGACAUCCAUAAAAUUCUGCAGAGAUGUGGGAGUGCCUUCGGGAACUAUGAGACAGGUGCUGCAUGGCUGUCGUCAGCUCGUGUUGUGAGAUGUUGGGUUAAGUCCCGCAACGAGCGCAACCCUUAUUCUUUGUUGCCAGCGAUUUGGUCGGGAACUCAAAGGAGACUGCCGUUGAUAAAGCGGAGGAAGGUGGGGACGACGUCAAGUCAUCAUGGCCCUUACGACCAGGGCUACACACGUGCUACAAUGGCGUAUACAAAGGGAAGCGAAGGCGCGAGCUGGAGCGGAUCUCAUAAAGUACGUCUAAGUUCGGAUUGGAGUCUGCAACUCGACUCCAUGAAGUCGGAAUCGCUAGUAAUCGUAGAUCAGAAUGCUACGGUGAAUACGUUCCCGGGCCUUGUACACACCGCCCGUCACACCAUGGGAGUGGGUUGCACCAGAAGUAGAUAGCUUAACCGCGAGGGGGGCGUUUACCACGGUGUGAUUCAUGACUGGGGUGAAGUCGUAACAAGGUAACCA